UAGGGAAUCUUCCGCAAUGGGCGAAAGCCUGACGGAGCAACGCCGCGUGAGUGAUGAAGGUCUUCGGAUCGUAAAACUCUGUUAUUAGGGAAGAACAAAUGUGUAAGUAACUAUGCACGUCUUGACGGUACCUAAUCAGAAAGCCACGGCUAACUACGUGCCAGCAGCCGCGGUAAUACGUAGGUGGCAAGCGUUAUCCGGAAUUAUUGGGCGUAAAGCGCGCGUAGGCGGUUUUUUAAGUCUGAUGUGAAAGCCCACGGCUCAACCGUGGAGGGUCAUUGGAAACUGGAAAACUUGAGUGCAGAAGAGGAAAGUGGAAUUCCAUGGGUAGCGGUGAAAUGCGGAGAGAUAUGGAGGAACACCAGUGGCGAAGGCGACUUUCUGGUCUGUAACUGACGCUGAUGUGCGAAAGCGUGGGGAUCAAACAGG
rnacentral:rRNA from 1 species